AUCCUGACACAGAAGAACGUACUCUUUAUCUGAGUAUCCUGCAGGGCAGAUGUGAAACCUGGAACUACUGUAACCGCUUUGCCAAUGAAUGAAAACAGCCUUUGAAGAUGCCAAGACAUAGAAAAGGGAAUGUUAGAGAAAUGGAGCUGCAGCUUCUGGAUUAAGCCAACCCUGAUGCUCACCUAUCUCUGGAAUCACCGUUUAUGUUAUGGAGGAUGGUGAGCCUCGCUGACACAUAAAUGACUAUUCCUCAAAGAUUUUAAAUAAACAACUAGGAUGCGACCUCUAAAGAAGGUUAAUCCCAACUGCUGGCCUUCCACUGAGAAAUCUUCCCUCUCCAAAAACAGACUUGUCAUUAUACCCACUCACAGUACUCUACACUUCUUCACAGCAUUUAUCCCACCUCUGGUUAAUUAACUAAUUGUGCAGGCAAUGGAUUUUUUCUCUACUAGGAUUUAAGUCACCCCUCUAGAAGUGGGCCUGGCAUACAACAGUCACUCCAUAAGUUAAUUGUGGACUGAAUGGAACACUUGUUAUAGGGUUUCCAACAUGUGACAUAUUACUGUUGGUGACAUGUGAGAUGAUUUAGGGGAUAAACAUGCAUGAACUUUCUGAAUAGUUUUAGUGGUUAUAUAUUUAUUCUAAUGUGUAUCAGACAAAUAAAUAACCGGUCAAAUCUCUGAUUUUUAUACACAGCCAUGACCCUCAUAAUAACGUUUUGGUCAACAAUGAAUGAACCACAUAUGUGAGGGUGGUCCUAAAAGAUUAUAAUGAAGCUGAAUGAUUCCUAUCUCCUAGCCAUCUUAACGUUAUUGUAGUGCAGUGCAUUACUCACUUCACAUGUCUGUGGUGAUGCUGGUGUAAACAAACCUAUUGCGCUGCCAGUCAUAUUAAAGUAUAGCACAUAUAAUUAUAUACAGUACAUAAUAUUUGCUAAUACAAGACUCUGUUGCUGGUUUAUGUAUUUACUAUAUUAUACUUUUAUCAUUAUUUUAGAGUGUACUACUACUUAUAAAAAGAAGUUAACUGUACAACAGUCUCAGCCAGGCCCUUCACGAGGUAUCCUAGAAGAAGGCAUUGUUAUCACAGGGGAUGACAGUUCCAUGCAUGUUAUUGCCCCUGAAGCCCUCCUAGUGGGACAAGAAGUGGACAGGCAAGACAGUGAUAUUGACCAUCCUGAUUCUGUGUAGGUCUGGGCUAAUCUGUG
ensembl:lncRNA novel transcript, antisense to CDK6